CUUCAGCUGCAAGGGAGAAAAAUGGAAUAUGAACUGUUGGAAUUGAGUUUUGUCUCAUUUUCUUACUGCUGUGUCAUCUUCAGUGUGAUCGCUGCCGGUGUUAGUGGGCAUAUUUUCUCCCUGGAGAUUGCUUUCAACAUCCCUCCUUUCAAGCUAUUCGACUAUGAAUCUUUUCUGCCAUUAAAGAAUAUUUUCAGGAGCAUUCCCUGCCAAACACACCCAGUAGUGAGCUUUAUUCUGAGCAUGAUGACCUAUUUGCAGUGUCUUCACCGCUGGCCCUCUAUGAACCCUGCUUGCGCGGCUCAGUUUUGUCAGGCCUCUGCAGAAUGAAGAUGCGCUGAGAUGUGCGCGUGAUCGAUCAACCUGCGCUGGAAAGAUGGGCUCAUUUUCUUGGCUCAGACUGGCGGAGUGGGGCAGAGAGCAGGAUUUUGGUAUUAUCGCAGUGCAAGUGGAGAGCAGAAUGAGAGAGGGGUGUGUUGCGUCUGGCAGUGCGGGGGAGCAGACUGUAAGAUGAGCGCAGAGGUUAAUCGAUACACCUGGAUCGGCCUCCGGGGGACUGUCGCGCGCUACUCCUGCUCUCAGAGAUUAAACCUGCUCACAACUGUCCAUUAACAGUUUAUCAGGCCAGCAAGCUACACACAUGAGCAACUCAACCAAUGAGCUGCUUCUUUGACAGGCCGCGGUCGAAUAUUAUUUGCUCGUGCUUUGGUUACUUUGAAUUCGGAAUGAAUCAGUGUUGUUGAACAAAUCAUUUAAGUGAAAGAAUCGUUCGUUUACUUCAAUUUAGCAUAAUAUACUAGCAUAGUUGGUACUCAUGUCUGGCAGAAAUAGUAUUAGGCUAUAUAAGCUAUUCCAAAUUUAAGAGUAUGGAAGCGAACGAAUGAUUCUUCUACUUAAAAGAUUUGUUCAAACACACGCAUUCGUUCUCGCGGUUUUGCAUCCGGGACUUUUCGAGGUUUGCACCUGCUUUGAGGCUACAGCGAAAAUAUUGACGUGGGUGCACAGAGCCAAGACAGCACAUGCCUGAAAACAUCACCAGGUUGUUCAGCAUGGAUCAAAAGUGGGGCCCUUAUGUGUGUGGAGACAGGAGACCUCAUUGUUCCUGUAACUGUGUAAAGCACAUAGACUGACCCAGGCUCUGUUUGUGUGGCAGAUGAAGACAUUUCAGGCCAGCUGCAUGGAGGCCCAAAUUUGUAAGGUGAGGAUUCUGUGGUGUCCUGAAACAUCCUGAUAAAACUAAAGUCAGACCCAUCACCCUUAAGACUCCAUCCCAGCCAUCUCUUCUGAGGUUUACAUGGUUGGUUGACUCUGUAAAUAAAAUGGCAAUAUACAGCACAAAUCUACAGUGAAACAAUAAGAGGUGAGCAGCCUUGUGUUGCCCAACUAGACGGUGAGAAGAAACAGUUUUAGUGAAAAAGUGGUAGUAGUUAACAAGUGCCUGACUGUAUGUUAAAUUUUGCUAUUUUAGUUUGAGAUUUGUCGACAGAGGAGUGUAAAGCAGCUAACAGUUUUGGAUUUCUUGGUCCCAAGACAUCGGUGGGUUUGCAUGUUUUUGCACAUUUUUAAAGGU